UACGCAGAUGUCCCUCGAUGUGUCCGUG
rnacentral:sRNA from 1 species